rnacentral:rRNA from 1 species
CUCGUAGGUGGCCAACUAAGUCAGACGUGAAAUCCCUCAGCUUAACUGGGGAACUGCGUCUGAUACUGGAUGGCUUGAGUUUGGGAGAGGGAUGCGGAAUUCCAGGUGUAGCGGUGAAAUGCGUAGAUAUCUGGAGGAACACCGGUGGCGAAGGCGGCAUCCUGGACCAAUACUGACACUGAGGAGCGAAAGCCAGGGAGCAAAC